rnacentral:rRNA from 1 species
UACAGAGGGUGCGAGCGUUAAUCGGAAUUACUGGGCGUAAAGCGCACGUAGGUGGCUUGGCAAGUCGGGUGUGAAAUCCCCGGGCUCAACCUGGGAACUGCAUUCGAGACUGCCUUGCUAGAGUAUGGGAGAGGGAAGUGGAAUUUCCGGUGUAGCGGUGAAAUGCGUAGAUAUCGGAAGGAACAUCAGUGGCGAAGGCGGCGAUCUGGGUGGAUACUGACGCUGAGGUGCGAAAGCGUGGGGAGCAAACAGG